AACGAACGCUGGCGGCAGGCCUAACACAUGCAAGUCGAGCGCCUCGCAGGAGGAGCGGCAGACGGGUGAGUAACGCGUGGGAAACUACCCUUUGGUACGGAACAACUCGGCGAAAGCUGAGCGAAUACCGUAUGUGUCCUUCGGGAGAAAGAUUUAUCGCCAAAGGAUGUGCGCGCGUCGGAGUAGUUAGUUGGUGGGGUAACGGCCCACCAAGACAACGAUCCGUAGCUGGUCUGAGAGGAUGAUCAGCCACACUGGGACUGAGACACGGCCCAGACUCCUACGGGAGGCAGCAGUGGGGAAUAUUGGACAAUGGGGGCAACCCUGAUCCAGCCAUGCCGCGUGAGUGAUGAAGGCCUUAGGGUUGUAAAGCUCUUUCACCGGGGACGAUAAUGACGGUACCCGGAGAAGAAGCCCCGGCUAACUUCGUGCCAGCAGCCGCCGUAAAAC
rnacentral:rRNA from 1 species